GCAAAAAAGCUCAGUCAGUAGGGCUAUGAGGCUCUUAAUCUCAGGGUCGUGGGUUUGAGCCCCACAUUGGGCA